GAUGAACGCUAGCUACAGGCUUAACACAUGCAAGUCGUGGGGCAUCAUGAUGUAGUAAUACAUUGAUGGCGACCGGCGCACGGGUGAGUAACGCGUAUCCAACCUACCCUCCACUCAAGUAUAGGCUUCCGAAAGGGAGAUUAAUCCUUGAUAUCGUCAUUCUCUCUCCUGUUAGAAUGAUAAAAGGACAUCGUUUCGGUAGAGGAUGGGGAUGCGUUCCAUUAGGUAGUAGGUGGUUUAACAGGCCACCUAGCCGAUGAUGGAUAGGGGUUCUGAGAGGAAUAUCCCCCACACUGGUACUGAGAUACGGACCAGACUCCUACGGGAGGCAGCAGUGAGGAAUAUUGGUCAAUGGGCGCAAGCCUGAACCAGCCAUGUAGCGUGAAGGAUGACGGUUUUUUUGAUUGUAAACUUCUUUUCUGUGCGAUUAAAGUGUGGCAUUUAUGCCAUAUUGCAGUAUCUCAGGAUAG
rnacentral:rRNA from 1 species